rnacentral:lncRNA from 1 species
AUAUACACCAUGGAAUACUACUCAGCCAUAAAAAGAAACGAAAUAAUGGUUUUUGCACAACUUGGAUAGAGCUGGAGGGCAUUAUUCUAAGUGAAGUAACUCAGGAAUGGAAAACCAAAUAUUGCAUGUUCUCACUUGUAAGUGGGAGAUAAGCUAUGAGGAUGCAAAGGCAUAAGAAUGAUAAAAUGAACUUUGGGGACUUGGGGGAGAAGGUUGGGAGACAGUGGAUGAUAAAAAAUCUACACACCGUGUGCAG